AGAGUUUGAUCCUGGCUCAGGACGAACGCUGGCGGCGUGCUUAACACAUGCAAGUCGAACGAAGAGCGAUGGAAGCUUGCUUCUAUCAAUCUUAGUGGCGAACGGGUGAGUAACGCGUAAUCAACCUGCCCUUCAGAGGGGGACAACAGUUGGAAACGACUGCUAAUACCGCAUACGAUCUAAUCUCGGCAUCGAGGAUGGAUGAAAGGUGGCCUCUACAUGUAAGCUAUCACUGAAGGAGGGGAUUGCGUCUGAUUAGCUAGUUGGAGGGGUAACGGCCCACCAAGGCGAUGAUCAGUAGCCGGUCUGAGAGGAUGAACGGCCACAUUGGGACUGAGACACGGCCCAGACUCCUACGGGAGGCAGCAGUGGGGAAUCUUCCGCAAUGGACGAAAGUCUGACGGAGCAACGCCGCGUGAGUGAUGACGGCCUUCGGGUUGUAAAGCUCUGUUAAUCGGGACGAAAGGCCUUCUUGCGAAUAGUGAGAAGGAUUGACGGUACCGGAAUAGAAAGCCACGGCUAACUACGUGCCAGCAGCCGCGGU
rnacentral:rRNA from 1 species